rnacentral:rRNA from 1 species
CUACGUGCCAGCAGCCGCGGUAAUACGUAGGGCGCGAGCGUUGUCCGGAAUUAUUGGGCGUAAAGAGCUUGUAGGCGGUUUGUCGCGUCUGCUGUGAAAGGCCGGGGCUUAACCCCGUGUAUUGCAGUGGGUACGGGCAGACUAGAGUGCAGUAGGGGAGACUGGAAUUCCUGGUGUAGCGGUGGAAUGCGCAGAUAUCAGGAGGAACACCGAUGGCGAAGGCAGGUCUCUGGGCUGUAACUAACGCUGAGAAGCGAAAGCAUGGGGAGCGAACAGGAUUAGAUACCCUGGUAGUCCAUGCCGUAAACGUUGGGCACUAGGUGUGGGGGACAUUCCACGUUUUCCGCGCCGUAGCUAACGCAUUAAGUGCCCCGCCUGGGGAGUACGGCCGCAAGGCUAAAACUCAAAGGAAUUGACGGGGGCCCGCACAAGCGGUGAAGCAUGUGGUUUAAUUCGAAGCAACGCGAAGAACCUUACCAGGUCUUGACAUCCCUCUGACCGCUCUAGAGAUAGAGUUUUC